rnacentral:lncRNA from 1 species
GUUGCUUACUGUCGGCUGUGCUUGGCAGCCUUCAAGUAGGCUUCGCUAUGGGCAGCAAGAAUCGGAGGAUGGGGACUGAGCCAAAAUGAAGUGGACAGGUUUUCUUCCCUUUUGCAUUGCACAUCUUGGACCAAACAUCCUUUAUCUUUGAAAAGUACUGAUAUGAAAUACACUCAUCACUAAUAAGGCUGAACAGAGCAAAAGAUGCAGGAUUUGUCAUGCUCCCUUUUGGCCGGCUUCUCUUCUCCAGGGCUUCACUGGAAUAUGAAGGCUGUGGCAGAACUGCUGUAAUUGGUGCACUCUUGAAAAUAUGAUGAUAUAAAUAACCAAAAUGAGCCUGAAGUGGAGGGGACGUCAGAGAUUUUUUGGUCUGCUCCUUGAGGUAUAACAUGAAACUCGGAGAUUUAACAAAAUCUUCUCUCCCACCCAUCACUGAUGGAGCCUCAGAAGUAACUGUUAAUAGCUGGAACAGUGCCUCAGCCAGCCCCUUUGGUGGCUCCAGAAUGGCUUUCCCUUGGUCUAGCCUGCCUUCUCUUACCUCUGCCAGCACGCCUGAUUUUAAAGUAAUCUUACAAGCUGAGGAGCUCAUGCGCGUGUCUGAACCUGGAGGAGGAAUUGCUUCAUCACUGGAGGGGAAGGAAAAGGCAUCAAGGUGCAAGGGCCGUCCCACCAACACAAGACUCCCUCCUUUGGCAAUCUCUCACACCAAACCUGCAGCCCUUCACCCACAGAGUUUGCAUAAGAGAGAAGCAAGAAUAAGAUGCUCAGCUCCCCUGUGCCCCAGGCUGGUGCCUAUCAGUGACGUGACACAGCUGCAGGGGGAUUUUCUGGUGGAGCAGGCCCUGUGACCCCUGCUCAGGACAAGCAGGACCCCUGCCCACGUCCACAUUGCAGUCAUGGGUUUUCUCGGGUCCUGCAGCUGGGAGCACAGGCACCUUGGCAUGUGUCUGUGCUUUGUUAGUUGGUUUCCACUACAGGUGCCCUCUGAGGAUUCAGCAUGAGCAUUUGAGAAGCUAUCCUGCUUAGUUUGCUUCUUGACAGGACUGAUUUUGCCCAACUCUGUUCUGUUAAUUAAGAAAUAGCACAAGAGAGUAACAGAUCUGCUCUCUAGCAUUUUUUUUUUUUAAGACGUCACUGAACAAACAUCCUGUAGCUCUCUUAAUUUACAUGAAGAUCUUUCCUGACCAUGUACAGUACUCAAUCACAUCCAUAUUGGGGAAUAAAUAAUAACAACAUGAAAAAGAUAAGACUGAA